GUGCGGCCUUCACCCAGUGAGGGAGCCUGUGCCCCCUGCCCAGUCGCUUUCGGGGCGCUGAGGAGCUUCCGCUGCCAUCUUCGGAUGCUGUGUCCCGCACGGAGGGUCCACCAGGGCAGGGAUAGUGGUGAGGGUCGCUCGUGGAUCCCCUCGCGGGGAGCAGGGUCUGGCACACACCAGGGCGCAGGAUUAGGACUUGUUGAAUGAAUCCAUCGUGGCCUUUAUCUUUUAGUCCUCUGAAGAGCGUUGAGAAUGGAAAUCAUAAGAUAUUUUUUCCAUUAGGAAGUUCUUUUUACAAGGCGUUUAUUCAGGUUGACUUCUCGGCACCCCGCGGGGCGGGCAACGGGCAGGGCCUCCAGUGCACCUUCUGCGCAGUGGAGCCGCGGGGGCCCAGCUGGGCGGUGGUCGGGUCGUGAGGCGGGAGGGCGGGAGCGGGGGAAGGGAAAAGCAAAAGCGGGGAAAGAAGCCGGGGAGCGGUGGACCAGACAUUCAGACCUCCUGAAAGGCUCGUGCGGAGGCAGAGGCGGGAUCUUCCGGAGGUUCAAACAAUACAGAAGUGUAUAAAGUAAGAAUUGAAAGUCUCUUCGCUGCUCUAAUCUCACUCCUCAGAGGUGAUCACUGUGUGGAAGAUGAUCAAAGUAUGACAUUUCUUCUACCCCAGAGGCUGGCAUUUCUGCAGGCACAAAUGAGCUUGGUUUUCAAGCACUGCUCUUUGAACACAAGGAAUUCCUUUAAUGAUCACGCCGGACUAUAUAGACUUUGGAAUCAGACUCUUUGAAUUCCAGCUCUGCCAUUUACCAACUUUGACACUUUGGGUAAGUCCUUUUAACCUCUUUAAGCCUCAGUUUCCUUUUCUGCAAACAGGAAUAAUGAUAAC
rnacentral:lncRNA from 1 species